rnacentral:lncRNA from 1 species
CCUUCUUGUGUUCUUCCAACUUGCUAUGUUCCUUGCAAAAUAAAUAUCUUUCUCCUUGCAACACAAACAUUAGUAUUUAUACUUCAAGGUUUUGUGAUCAUCAAAAUCAAUCUUUAGGUCAUCAGAAAGGGGGAGCUUUAAAUUCCAAAAUUUAUUGCUUCACACCUUUCAAGCUUGGAUAUAUUAAAUUACCAGACAUUUGAAUUCAUUUAUGGAUUUUAUUUCCUUGUUUAUUGAGCAAUUCACUUUAUAUAUACUCAAAGUUUUGUCAUCAUCAAAAAGGGGGAGAUUGUGGAGUGAUUGAUUAAAACCCCUAUUUGAUUUUGAUGAGCUCAAAGCAUUUGAGUAUAUCUUAUGUUUACUAAUGAAUUCAAUUAAGUAUUUCAGUGAAAAUCGUGUCUAAGUGUUUCUAGACUUGGUUCAAGAUAUUUUGGAUAAGGUAUAAAGUCAGUUUGAACCAAAGUUUGAGACUCGAGUCGACUCCAGGAUAUUUACA